GGGGGUUGAGGUUUAUUAUCACAUUGUCUCUGAAGCAUAGAUUUGCAAUAAUUUGAUUUGAAAAGCUCCUGCACUAAUACUCUUAAUGAAUUCUUAUUAUCCUUUCAAAAUGGAAACACAUAAUACUUUUACUUGUUAUUGUUCAAGUCAAAUUUAGUAGACAAAUAAUAAUUCCGCUAAUGGUUUUUGGUUGCACGUUCAAAGCUUCAACCUAAGCCUUACAUUUUGAUUUUAGAGCAAUGAAUACAUCAGUCAAGAACAAAUUUUAUCCUAUUAAACUUAUAAGAUAGACAGGCCACAGCUACAGCAUAAGCACACCUAGAUAGCCUUGUUGUUAUGUCUGCAGUUGAGAAAGCAUCCUUUAGCACAUGUUCAUUAGAAGCAAUUCAAAAUUGAUUAAGGUGUCAACAGCAAGCUUUUGCCUUGAAAACUCUAAAGUAGCAUAAACAGAAUUUCUCACUACUCUUUGUAAAAGCAUAAAAAAGGAUGUCUUUUAGAAAAGCAAUGCCAAAGAAGCUAUUAAUUUACAAAAUUUGACAUCAAUUCAUGGCUUAAAAGUCAAGAUUAAUGAUAUUGAUAUAUUUGUGGAUAUUUGUUUCAUUGCAGAGCCUAUCCUUUCCUCAUGAUUCUAGAUCACACUUUAUGAUGUCAACUCUUUUAAAGGUUAUAAUAGAUUUAGAUGAAUAUUAGAGGAGGUGGAGGAGGAGGACGACAAGGAGAAGGCCAUUUUGGACCGUUAGGAUUUCUGCCUAUAAGAGCUGCAAUUUUGAUUAUCAUGUCAGAAUCAAUGAAGAAAUGACACUUAGCUCUGCAACAAACACAUGAAGAAUUUACAAGAAAAAGAGAACAGAAAGCAAGUAAUCAAAGGGAUUCAUUUCUUCCUUUGUGGAAUUCUAGAGGCUCUAAACAUUUCAAAUAGUUUCCAAAUCUGAGAUCUCAACCUGAUCAUGAGUAUAAUUUAAAAAAUAAUCCACACAACACACAUAUGCACAAAUUAGAAUGGCAAUUACAGAAACAGAAGAGACAAAGCAACAAAAGCAAUUUUUUGUGAUUUGCAAUGUGCCUAAAUACACAGAGAGCCACGGCAAUUUUUCGGCAUGAAGGAUUAAAGUUAUGAAUGCCUAUUUAUAGAGUUGCUAGAAUUUUCCGGCUAAUUUUCAUCCAUCGUCCUUGAACUUUAGGGGUUAUUUCAAUAAAGUCCCUGAACUUCAAUUUGUAUCACAAAA
rnacentral:misc_RNA from 1 species